rnacentral:rRNA from 1 species
GAGUUUGAUCCUGGCUCAGAGUGAACGCUGGCGGCAGGCCUAACACAUGCAAGUCGAACGGCAGCGCAGCAGUAGCAAUACUGUGGGCGGCGAGUGGCGGACGGGUGAGGAAUACAUCGGAAUCUACCUUGUCGUGGGGGAUAACGUAGGGAAACUUACGCUAAUACCGCAUACGACCUACGGGUGAAAGCGGCGGACCGCAAGGCGUCGCGCGAUUGGAUGAGCCGAUGUCCGAUUAGCUGGUUGGCGGGGUAAAGGCCCACCAAGGCGACGAUCGGUAGCUGGUCUGAGAGGAUGAUCAGCCACACUGGAACUGAGACACGGUCCAGACUCCUACGGGAGGCAGCAGUGGGGAAUAUUGGACAAUGGGCGCAAGCCUGAUCCAGCCAUGCCGCGUGUGUGAAGAA